AAACGUUGCAAAGUAUUAUAAUAUUCUUUAUCAAUUAUAAAAAAAAUAUUUCAAAUCAUCUUAUCAAUAAAUUAUCAACACACAAAAUGAUAGUGAACACCGAACCUGCAUGAUACAAGAAAUAUAAUAUCAAAAAAUACAUUAUUGAGAUUUGACAAUUUAUAUAAGUUAAAACAUCGAUGACGAGUAGGUAGGUAAUGAAUGACGUGUUUCUUUGUUUUUUAAGCCUCCAUAGUUCAGGCUUCAAUAAACAUAUUUUUAAGCAAUGUUUGCUAAUCAAAUAGUAGUUAAAACAGUAAAAAUGUAUAACUUAAAUAUUUUAAUUUUAAACAAAUAUGAUACUGUACUGUAUUGCCGAAUCUAUAUAUUAUGGUGCCAGUAUAGCAUGCGACACAAAAUUAGCUAAAUUGAUAACAUAUAAAAAAACACUAACUGUUUACCUAUAUCAAGUAAAAAACAUUUGGAUUCAAAAUACAAUAUAAAAUAUAAACAUACAUGAUUUAAAAGGAUCUAGAUGUCACUGUUAAAGGAAGUGCAGUUCUUAGCCCUAAUACUAAACUCAAUAAAUGUGUUGUAAUGGACAUUAAUGUUAUGGAAUACCUAUAAAUACCAACAUGUUCCUACACAUCUCAAAUAAAAAGCAAAAUGGCUGUUUCCCUGUUAUUGUACAAAGUCCUCCCGGCCGACGAAAAUUCUUCAACCAGCCCACGGUCUGGAUUGCCAAACAUGACUCGGAUACUCAAUGUAUUUUGUCCGAGACCGCUGACCAGCUCCAUCAAGUCUCAACCCGAGGAAGCAUACCACACCGGCACCUCGUUUUCGACCGUUUUUUCAUCGUAUCCAAUAUAUUUUGAUGCCAUCGUAUAGUACAACCAUAAUUACCUGAACAACAACAAUAAGUGCCCAGGCGGGCGUAGCAGCGACAAACGACAAUCCAUUGGAUACAAAUCAAUUCACCUGUUGUCAAGUAUACUCUCCCGUAUACCUUCCCAUUUUUUGCAACGCGGUCCGUUGUAUUCAAACAAAUAUUAAAAUAUUUUUUCUUACAGAAAACUAUACAAAUGAAUCAUAUUUUGCGCAAUGCACGAGUAUCCAUUGGAGCCUAAACGCAAAAAUACCAUAAUAUUAGCUGUCAUGUUAAAAUAUAUCCAGAUUUAUCCUCAUAAUCCCCAAAUUGUAUUAUAUACAAAUGUAUUUGCCAUGUUGCCCCCAAUUAUCAUAUUCCCAUGACUGAUAUUUUAUAUUAUUAUUAUCCCCCCCCCCCCACCAAAAAAAAAAACCUAUUAUAUUAUUUGUUGUUUUGAUGCCAUGUAAAAUAAAACCACUUAAUUACCUUUAAGAAAACUCUCUUUUUAUUAUUAUUGGUGUCACCUAUUCUCAGAUAUAAUUAAUAUUAUUAAUUUCAAAUAAAGUCACUACGCAGAAAAAAAAUAAAGUACUUUGUCUUAAAAAUUUCUUAUGUAAAUUGACCUGACAACUAAAUUAUGUUUCUUCAAAAUUCAAACAAUGUUAAAAUUUUAGUAAUAAUAUUAUAAUAACAUUUUUUAAAGAUUCAUUAAAAUUAUGAUAAAAUUAUUAUGGUAAAAAAAUUAUGUUUCUAUUCAUAACAUUAUAAGCAAAAUAUAGCUUUCUAACAUUUCCACUUAAACAUUAAUGUUUUAGAUAUUUUAAUAAUGUACUAAUAUUCAGAAAACAUUUUCACAAGUACAAAGAAAUAUAAAAAUCAAAUAUUAUAUUUAAACAAUAAGUUGUAAGUUUAAUUAUAAUAUAUCAUUCUUGUUGAUUAAUUUUUAAUAUAAAUGAACACAAUUUAAUUAGGUUGUUUUGAAUUUUGAAUUUAUUUUUAAUGCGAAACGUCGCAUGUGUCAAGGCAGUUGUGUUAUGUUUAUAACAUAUUAUGUUUUUUCGGAAUAUUAUUGUACUUGAUGUUCGUUAUAAUUGGCAGUUGCAUCUGAACAAAUUGUUUAUAACUUUUAUUUAAUUUAAAUGUUUAAAUAUAUUAUUUGUUGUAGUAAACAAUAUGGUAUUAUAAUUUAUAUUUUAUAUUUAUUUUACACAGAUGACAUUUAAUUUAUAUUAGACAUUAUUUAUGUUAUACACAGAUAAAAUUAAAUUUAUAGUACCUACACAUUUUAAAUAAGUUACAUUCCUCCAUCAAGACUACAAUAUGCAAUUGGAGUUAAUUAAAUUGGUAAAUUUAGUACCAUUAUUGUGAUUUUCUUUAUUAGUAAUUUUUAAUUAAGGCACCCGGUGCUGGCUAUUUAUUAAG